rnacentral:rRNA from 1 species
UACAGAGGGGGCAAGCGUUGUUCGGAAUUACUGGGCGUAAAGGGCGCGUAGGCGGCCUGUUAAGUCGAACGUGAAAUCCCCGGGCUCAACCCGGGAACUGCGUCCGAUACUGGCAGGCUUGAAUCCGGGAGAGGGAUGCGGAAUUCCAGGUGUAGCGGUGAAAUGCGCAGAUAUCAGGAGGAACACCAACGGCGAAGGCAGCACUCUGGGCCGGUACUGACGCUGAGGAGCGAAAGCGUGGGGAGCAAACAGG